rnacentral:rRNA from 1 species
AAAUUGAAGAGUUUGAUCAUGGCUCAGAUUGAACGCUGGCGGCAGGCCUAACACAUGCAAGUCGAACGGUAACAGGAAGCAGCUUGCUGCUUCGCUGACGAGUGGCGGACGGGUGAGUAAUGUCUGGGAAACUGCCUGAUGGAGGGGGAUAACUACUGGAAACGGUGGCUAAUACCGCAUAACGUCGCAAGACCAAAGAGGGGGACCUUCGGGCCUCUUGCCAUCAGAUGUGCCCAACACAUGCAAGUCGAACGGUAACAGGAAGCAGCUUGCUGCUUCGCUGACGAGUGGCGGACGGGUGAGUAAUGUCUGGGAAACUGCCUGAUGGAGGGGGAUAACUACUGGAAACGGUGGCUAAUACCGCAUAACGUCGCAAGACCAAAGAGGGGGACCUUCGGGCCUCUUGCCAUCAGAUGUGCCCAGAUGGGAUUAGCUUGUUGGUGAGGUAACGGCUCACCAAGGCGACGAUCCCUAGCUGGUCUGAGAGGAUGACCAGCCACACUGGAACUGAGACACGGUCCAGACUCCUACGGGAGGCAGCAGUGGGGAAUAUUGCACAAUGGGCGCAAGCCUGAUGCAGCCAUGCCGCGUGUAUGAAGAAGGCCUUCGGGUUGUAAAGUACUUUCAGCGGGGAGGAAGGUGUUGUGGUUAAUAACCGCAGCAAUUGACGUUACCCGCAGAAGAAGCACCGGCUAACUCCGUGCCAGCAGCCGCGGUAAUACGGAGGGUGCAAGCGUUAAUCGGAAUUACUGGGCGUAAAGCGCACGCAGGCGGUCUGUCAAGUCGGAUGUGAAAUCCCCGGGCUCAACCUGGGAACUGCAUUCGAAACUGGCAGGCUUGAGUCUUGUAGAGGGGGGUAGAAUUCCAGGUGUAGCGGUGAAAUGCGUAGAGAUCUGGAGGAAUACCGGUGGCGAAGGCGGCCCCCUGGACAAAGACUGACGCUCAGGUGCGAAAGCGUGGGGAGCAAACAGGAUUAGAUACCCUGGUAGUCCACGCCGUAAACGAUGUCUACUUGGAGGUUGUGCCCUUGAGGCGUGGCUUCCGGAGCUAACGCGUUAAGUAGACCGCCUGGGGAGUACGGCCGCAAGGUUAAAACUCAAAUGAAUUGACGGGGGCCCGCACAAGCGGUGGAGCAUGUGGUUUAAUUCGAUGCAACGCGAAGAACCUUACCUGGUCUUGACAUCCACAGAAGAAUCCAGAGAUGGAUUUGUGCCUUCGGGAACUGUGAGACAGGUGCUGCAUGGCUGUCGUCAGCUCGUGUUGUGAAAUGUUGGGUUAAGUCCCGCAACGAGCGCAACCCUUAUCCUUUGUUGCCAGCGGUUAGGCCGGGAACUCAAAGGAGACUGCCAGUGAUAAACUGGAGGAAGGUGGGGAUGACGUCAAGUCAUCAUGGCCCUUACGACCAGGGCUACACACGUGCUACAAUGGCGCAUACAAAGAGAAGCGACCUCGCGAGAGCAAGCGGACCUCAUAAAGUGCGUCGUAGUCCGGAUUGGAGUCUGCAACUCGACUCCAUGAAGUCGGAAUCGCUAGUAAUCGUGGAUCAGAAUGCCACGGUGAAUACGUUCCCGGGCCUUGUACACACCGCCCGUCACACCAUGGGAGUGGGUUGCAAAAGAAGUAGGUAGCUUAACCUUCGGGAGGGCGCUUACCACUUUGUGAUUCAUGACUGGGGUGAAGUCGUAACAAGGUAACCGUAGGGGAACCUGCGGUUGGAUCACCUCCUUACCUUAAAGAAGC